GGUGAUUAGCUCAGCUGGGAGAGCACCUCCCUUACAAGGAGGGGGUCGGCGGUUCGAUCCACUCAUCA
rnacentral:tRNA from 1 species